AACCUUAUGGACCUGCGGGCGUAUACCUGCGGAAGGAUCAUUACAGAGUUACUACUCCAAACCCAUUGUGAACCUUACCUAUGUUCUGUUGCCUCGGCGGCGCGGUCAGCGCCCCUCUGAAAAGAGGACGAUGCCCUCCCGCCGGCAGCACCAAACUCUUGAAUUUUACAGCGGAUUACAGUUCUGAUUUAAAAACAAAAAAAACAAGUUAAAACUUUUAACAAUGGAUCUCAGAUCGGA
rnacentral:misc_RNA from 1 species